GGGGGACAGUACGAACCACACUUUGACUUCUCGAGGGUAAGGCUCUAAUGGUCUUUGGAGGGCUCUUCUCUGGCUGGUUUGAGAAGGUUGGAGCUUCUAGAAACAUUUCAGCUCCCACGGCAUCCCUCCGCCACCUACCAGGUGAAAGGGAAAACCUCUUUGCUGCCGGCAAAGCAUCCGCAGAGCCCAGCAGAGCCUGGUUGUAUCCUGCUGCUGUGCGGGUGUUUGGCUUGAUAAUAAAGCCACAGACCUCUCUAGGUCCCUGCGAAAAUUUUUCUUGCCUCUUCCCCCUCCCCGUUGUUGUGUUCUGGCCGGGGAUCCCUUUGUCAUCCUGUCCCAUUCCUGGCUUUUCAAGGGAAGGCAUACUUAUUACCUUCCCCUGUCCCUUGGUCCCAGUCCUCUGGGUGUCGGGUAAGUUAGUUGCAAACUUGGAUAAAAGUUGUUGUCUGUUGCAGCGACCCUUUGACAGCGGCCUCAAAACGGAGGGCAAUAGGUUAGCGACGUUUCUUAACUAUGUAAGUACUGGGCCGGGCACUUCUGUUCACUCUCACUUAAUUUUAUAGAGCGAUGAGCGAGAUGCUUUCAAGCGUUUAGGGACUGGGAACCGUGUGGCCACAUUUCUAAACUACGUGAGUAUGAUGCAUGUCCCUGAUGGGCCCCGUGGAGACCCUGGGGCCACAGGGCUCCUGCAUCCCACCCCAUCGGGGCUCAGCAUCAGCCGCUGCAUAGUGGAUCCUCGGGUCCCUUCUCGCCUAGAGUAGAGAUGGUUGGCUUUGGUUCCCAGCGGUGUGCUUGCCUUUCUCCUGCUCCCUGGCUCCCCGCCCCUAACAUUUUUAUUUUAUUAUUAUUUUUUAGCUGUGGUAAAAUAUACAUAACAUAAAAA
rnacentral:lncRNA from 1 species